CCCGCUGAACUUAAGCAUAUCAAUAAGCGGAGGAAAAGAAACUAACAAGGAUUCCCCUAGUAACUGCGAGUGAAGAGGGAAGAGCUCAAAUUUGAAAUCUGGCGGUUCUUGCAGCCGUCCGAGUUGUAGUUUAGAGAAGUGCUAUCCGCGCUGGCCUGUGCAUAAGUUUCUUGGAAAAGAAUAUCAUAGAGGGUGACAAUCCCGUCUUUGGCACAGAUCACCAGGGCUUUUGUGAUGCGCUCUCGACGAGUCGAGUUGUUUGGGAAUGCAGCUCUAAAUGGGUGGUAAAUUCCAUCUAAAGCUAAAUAUUGGCGAGAGACCGAUAGCGAACAAGUACCGUGAGGGAAAGAUGAAAAGAACUUUGAAAAGAGAGUUAAACAGUACGUGAAAUUGUUGAAAGAGAAACGCUUGAAGUCAGUCGCGUCUUCCAGGGAUCAAGUCGACUUUUGUCGGCCGUACUUUCUGGUUGAUGGGUCAGCAUCAAUUUUGACCGCUGGAUAAAGGCCUUGGGAAUGUAGCAUCUUCGGAUGUGUUAUAGACCAGGGUUCGGAUACAGUGAUUGGGAUUGAGGAACUCAGUGUGCCCUUGUGGGUGGGGCAACUUGCCUACAUAGCGCACUUAGGAUGCUGGCAUGAUGGCUUUAAUCGACCCGUCUUGAAAUACGGCAU
rnacentral:rRNA from 1 species